AGACGGAGGGGGCUAGUGUUAUUCGGAAUGACUGGGCGUAAAGGGCACGUAGGCGGUGAAUUAAGUUGAAGGUGAAAUCCCAAAGCUUAACUUUGGAACUGUUUUCAAAACUGAUUCACUGGAGUUCGAUAGGGGAUAGUGGAAUUUCUAGUGUAGAAAUAAAAUUCAUAAAUAUUAGAAGGAACACCAGUGGCGAAGGCGACUAUCUGGAUCGAUACUGACGCUGAGGUGCGAAAGCAUGGGGAGCAAACAGGAUUAGAAACCCUAGUAGUCC
rnacentral:rRNA from 1 species